rnacentral:tRNA from 3 species
GCGCUCGUAGCUCAGUUGGAUAGAGUAUUGCCCUCCGAAGGCAAGGGUCGCACGUUCGAAUCGUGUCGAGCGCGCCA